CAGAAAAUGAAAUAAAAUCAGCCAGCAAAUAUCUUCUGGAAAUACUUUGAUUGCAACAUCAUUUCCAAAAAAGUAUUCCAACAAAUACACCGCCUGUGGGCUUGAGAGGUGGUCUCGCCAGUGAUGACUGCGGUUAUCGCAGUGAACAGAGCGAGGCCAUUCAUCAACUGGCUGCGACACGACCACCUCGGAUCGCACGGAGCCCAAUCAAAGGCUGCAUCAGCUGGUUGCGGAUUCAGCUGGAUGUCUGUGGACUGUCUGGAGACCAGCAAGCAACGCCGGGCGACCGCUGCGUGAGUGAAGUUGAAAGAUGACAGGGCGGUCGCAACGGAGGCAGGGAACAGCGCUGUUGCUAUGACUGACUGCCAUGGGGAC
ensembl:lncRNA